rnacentral:rRNA from 1 species
UACAGAGGUGGCUAGCGUUGUUCGGAAUUACUGGGCGUAAAGGGCGCGUAGGCGGCUUGGUCAGUCCCGUGUGAAAUCCCUCGGCUCAACUGAGGAACUGCACGGGAAACUGCCUGGCUUGAGUUCGGGAGAGGGAAGCGGAAUUCCGGGUGUAGCGGUGAAAUGCGUAGAUAUCCGGAGGAACACCGGUGGCGAAGGCGGCUUCCUGGACCGACACUGACGCUGAGGCGCGAAAGCGUGGGGAGCAAACAGG